GAUGAACGCUGGCGGCGUGCCUAGUACAUGCAAGUCGAGCGAACAGACGAGGAGCUUGCUCCUCUGACGUUAGCGGCGGACGGGUGAGUAACACGUGGAUAACCUACCUAUAAGACUGGGAUAACUUCGGGAAACCGGAGCUAAUACCGGAUAAUAUAUUGAACCGCAUGGUUCAAUAGUGAAAGACGGUUUUGCUGUCACUUAUAGAUGGAUCCGCGCCGCAUUAGCUAGUUGGUAAGGUAACGGCUUACCAAGGCAACGAUGCGUAGCCGACCUGAGAGGGUGAUCGGCCACACUGGAACUGAGACACGGUCCAGACUCCUACGGGAGGCAGCAGUAGGGAAUCUUCCGCAAUGGGCGAAAGCCUGACGGAGCAACGCCGCGUGAGUGAUGAAGGUCUUCGGAUCGUAAAACUCUGUUAUUAGGGAAGAACAAAUGUGUAAGUAACCAUGCACGUCUUGACGGUACCUAAUCAGAAAGCCACGGCUAACUACGUG
rnacentral:rRNA from 1 species